rnacentral:lncRNA from 1 species
UUUUUUUUAUUUUUUAUUUUUAUGAAGCAACUUAUCAAAUGAACAGCUAACAUAUUGCAGAUAUGAAAACAUAAUUAAAAAGAAAAGAUCUAAUAGUAAAUAAAUAUUUAUACGAGUAAUGAUUUUUCUUAUAAUUAUUAUUUAAAAAAUUCAGACAUGACUGAGAAAUAAAUUUUUAAUUUUAUAAUUAACUAUACGGGAAAGUGCCUAAGGCCAUACGAGGGCCAUACAUUUUUUGGGAAAAGGAUCCGGGAAUCUUAGGGAUUCUAUAAUCUUGUCUGUUUAUAGUACAUCGUACGGUCAGAAAUAAUUUAAAAUUCAAAUAUAAAUAGUACCUAACAAAAACUAACCGUAAGAUGUACGAUGAAUGGACAAGAUUGCAAGAUCCCUAGGAAAAGGAUCCAACGAGGAUCCCAUUUUUUGUCAAAUUAAUUAGCAACUAACAUGUGUAAAGGUCAUGUGUCACAUGUACGUGGAUACAUGGUACUCUUAUGCUCACACGGUUUUCUAAUUAAGGAGCGAGCUGGAAUUAUCAUGUGAACCUCUUUUUUCCUCUAAACCUAGCUAGCGGAGAAGAAUUACUGGAGAUUAGCUAUUCUGUAAUCGUCGUGUGCGAAGUUACUUUCUCUCUUUCAUAAGGGUGAGGACCAUUAUAUUUGGAAAAUCAC